rnacentral:rRNA from 1 species
AUGUGCGAAGCGCGACGAGGUUAAUCCGAGUGCCGCCCGCUGAGGGCGGCUUUUCUCAGGUGUAAAUGGUCUGAGGAAUAAGGGGAGGGAAAGCCUGGUGUCAGCAGCCGCGGUAAA